GGCAUUCAACGAGAAAGGGCUGUUCAAGAGUGGAGGUUUCAUCCAUGCUGAUCAAGCUGAAGAAGUGUAGCACCUCAAAUUUGCACCUACCAUUUUGUACAUUAAUUUUCAUCAUUAGGUCAUUAACAUUACAUGGUCCAUUGCAUAGCAUUGCAUUGUCCUUUGCCCAAGUGCAAGUCAUCAGACAAGAUUAGGUCAACUGGUCAGGAGAUCUAGUUGAGC
rnacentral:lncRNA from 1 species